CCAGGUGAUCUCGCCCCAAGCGCGCAAAGCAUGAUUUCCACUGCAAAUAGAAAUCCAUACCAGCAUGCCACGCGAGCGUACUGUAAAGAAAAAUAUUUUCUCCGCGAGACAAAAACGCAGCUGAAGAAGACAUAAAUGAGAGAUAUUUUGGUCGAUCUUGCGCGAUUUUUUUGGAGAAUGAUCCUCAGAAACAAAAAGCAAGGAGUAUCUGCGAUCAUGGUUAGCCUGGAUGAAAACAGAACGAACUUGAUUAAAAAAACUAUGAUUUUAGGGCAAUGGUUUUGCUCGAACUUAAUACAGUGGACAUGAACAUGCUCAUGCAGGCGAGUUAAAUUGCGAUAAAUUUUUAGUUUAUAUGAUGUUGAUUUCAGUAAAUUUAAGUUAUUUCAAUAAAGUUUUACAUGAAGUUAAUUUGUAUGUGUCUGCCUUGUCUAAAAUUGUUUUUUG